rnacentral:rRNA from 1 species
AGUGAACGCUGGCGGUAGGCCUAAUACAUGCAAGUCGAACGGCAGCACAGUAAGAGCUUGCCCUUACGGGUGGCGAGUGGCGGACGGGUGAGGAAUACAUCGGCAUCUACUUUUUCGUGGGGGAUAACGUAGGGAAACUUACGCUAAUACCGCAUACGAUCUACGGGUGAAAGCAGGGGAUCUUCGGACCUUGCCCGAUUGAAUGAGCCGAUGUCGGAUUAGCUAGUUGGCGGGGUAAAGGCCCACCAAGGCAACGAUCCGUAGCUGGUCUGAGAGGAUGAUCGGCCACACUGGAACUGAGACACGGUCCAGACUCCUACGGGAGGCAGCAGUGGGGAAUAUUGGACAAUGGGCGCAAUCCUGAUCCAGCCAUACCGCGUGGGUGAAGAAGGCCUUCGGGUUGUAAAGCCCUUUUGUUGGGAAAGAAAAUCAGCAGGUUAAAACCCCGCUGUUCUGACGGUACCCAAAGAGUAAGCACCGGCUAACUUCGUG